GAUGAACGCUAGCGGCAGGCUUAACACAUGCAAGUCGAGGGGCAGCAUAAUCUUCGGAUUGAUGGCGACCGGCGCACGGGUGCGUAACGCGUAUGCAACCUACCCUUUACAGGGGGAUAGCCCGAGGAAACUCGGAUUAAUACCCCAUAACAUUACUGUAUCGCAUGGUACUGGUAAUUAAAAUUUCGAUGGUAAAGGAUGGGCAUGCGUAAGAUUAGAUAGUUGGUGAGGUAACGGCUCACCAAGUCUACGAUCUUUAGGGGGCCUGAGAGGGUGAACCCCCACACUGGUACUGAGACACGGACCAG
rnacentral:rRNA from 1 species